rnacentral:rRNA from 1 species
UAGGGAAUAUUGGACAAUGGGCGCAAGCCUGAUCCAGCCAUGCCGCGUGAGUGAAGAAGGCCCUCGGGUUGUAAAGCUCUUUUGUUGGGGAAGAAAAGCAGUUGGUUAAUACCCGAUUGUUCUGACGGUACCCAAAGAAUAAGCACCGGCUAACUUCGUGCCAGCAGCCGCGGUAAUACGAAGGGUGCAAGCGUUACUCGGAAUUACUGGGCGUAAAGCGUGCGUAGGUGGUUGUUUAAGUCUGAUGUGAAAGCCCUGGGCUCAACCUGGGAAUGGCAUUGGAUACUGGAUAGCUAGAGUGCGGUAGAGGGUAGUGGAAUUCCCGGUGUAGCAGUGAAAUGCGUAGAGAUCGGGAGGAACAUCCGUGGCGAAGGCGACUACCUGGGCCAGCACUGACACUGAGGCACGAAAGCGUGGGGAGCAAACA